rnacentral:misc_RNA from 1 species
AACGCAUAUUGCGCUCGAGCCCUCGGGCAAGAGCAUGUCUGCCUCAGCGUCGGUUUAUACCCUCACCCCUCCCAUUUUGUGGGUCAGGUUGCUGUACUCAGCUGACCUCGGGGUGGAUCUGGCUUCCCUAAUCCGUUGAAAAACAGAUUGGGCUGGCUGAAGCACAGAGGCUUAAACAAGGACCCUAUAUGGGCUUCAACUGGAUAGGUAGUACCGGCGUAUGCCGCCUACACGAAGUUGUGGCUUGUGGACUUUGUUAGGGGCCAAGCAGGAAACAUGCUUCAUUGCAUGCCUAAACUUUCGACUGAGCUCAGGCAAGGCUACCCGCUGAACUUAA